GAGUGGCGGACGGGUGAGUAACACGUAGGUAACCUGCCCCGGAGCGGGGGAUAACAUUUGGAAACAGAUGCUAAUACCGCAUAACAACAAAAGCCACAUGGCUUUUGUUUGAAAGAUGGCUUUGGCUAUCACUCUGGGAUGGACCUGCGGUGCAUUAGCUAGUUGGUAAGGUAACGGCUUACCAAGGCGAUGAUGCAUAGCCGAGUUGAGAGACUGAUCGGCCACAAUGGAACUGAGACACGGUCCAUACUCCUACGGGAGGCAGCAGUAGGGAAUCUUCCACAAUGGGCGCAAGCCUGAUGGAGCAACACCGCGUGAGUGAAGAAGGGUUUCGGCUCGUAAAGCUCUGUUGUUGGAGAAGAACGUGCGUGAGAGUAACUGUUCACGCAGUGACGGUAUCCAACCAGAAAGUCACGGCUAACUACGUGCCAGCAGCCGCGGUAAUACGUAGGUGGCAAGCGUUAUCCGGAUUUAUUGGGCGUAAAGCGAGCGCAGGCGGUUGCUUAGGUCUGAUGUGAAAGCCUUCGGCUUAACCGAAGAAGUGCAUCGGAAACCGGGCGACUUGAGUGCAGAAGAGGACAGUGGAACUCCAUGUGUAGCGGUGGAAUGCGUAGAUAUAUGGAAGAACACCAGUGGCGAAGGCGGCUGUCUGGUCUGCAACUGACGCUGAGGCUCGAAAGCAUGGGUAGCGAACUGAAUGAGAUACCCUGGUAGUCCAUGCCGUAAACGAUCCCUGGUAGGUGUUGGAGGGGUUUCACGCCCUUCAGUGCCGGAGCUAACGCAUUAAGUACUCCGCCUGGGGAGUUCGACCGCAAGGUUUGAAACUCAAAGGAAUUGACGGGGGCCCGCACAAGCGGUGGAGCAUGUGGUUUAAUUCGAAGAUACGCGAAGAACCUUACCAGGUCUUGACAUCUUGCGCUAACCUUAGAGAUAAGGCGUUCCCUUCGGGGACGCAAUGACAGGUGGUGCAUGGUCGUCGUCAGCUCGUGUCGUGAGAUGUUGGGUUAAGUCCCGCAACGAGCACAACCCUUGUUACUAGUUGCCAGCAUUAAGUUGGGCACUCUAGUGAGACUGCCGGUGACAAACCGGAGGAAGGUGGGGACGACGUCAGAUCAUCAUGCCCCUUAUGACCUGGGCUACACACGUGCUACAAUGGACGGUACAACGAGUCGCAAGCUCGCGAGAGUAAGCUAAUCUCUUAAAGCCGUUCUCAGUUCGGACUGUAGGCUGCAACUCGCCUACACGAAGUCGGAAUCGCUAGUAAUCGCGGAUCAGCAUGCCGCGGUGAAUACGUUCCCGGGCAAAGUACACACCGCCCGUCACACCAUGGGAGUUUGUAACGCCCAAAGUCGGUGGCCUAACCUUUAUGGAGGAAAGGGCCUAAGGCGGGACAGAUGACUGGGGU
rnacentral:rRNA from 1 species